rnacentral:rRNA from 1 species
AUUGAACGCUGGCGGCAGGCCUAACACAUGCAAGUCGAACGGUAGCACAGAGAGCUUGCUCUCGGGUGACGAGUGGCGGACGGGUGAGUAAUGUCUGGGAAACUGCCCAAUGGAGGGGGAUAACUACUGGAAACGGUAGCUAAUACCGCAUAACGUCUUCGGACCAAAGUGGGGGACCUUCGGGCCUCACACCAUCGGAUGUGCCCAGAUGGGAUUAGCUGGUAGGUGGGGUAAUGGCUCACCUAGGCGACGAUCCCUAGCUGGGCUGAGAGGAUGACCGGCCACACUGGAACUGAGCCACGGUCCAGACUCCUACGGGAGGCAGCAGUGGGGAAUAUUGCACAAUGGGCGCAAGCCUGAUGCAGCCAUGCUGCGUGUAUGAAGAAGGCCUUCGGGUUGUAAAGUACUUUCAGCGGGGAGGAAGGCGAUGGAGUUAAUAGCUUCAUCGAUUGACGUUACCCGCAGAAGAAGCACCGGCUAACUCCGUGCCAGCCGCCGCCGUAA